rnacentral:rRNA from 1 species
AAUGGCCUAACGGCUGAACCAGCAACUUGGAAGAAUGUAUAGCGAAAGCUAGUCAAUGAUAUCGAUUUACUCGAAUAAAAUUCUGAAUAAAAUUAUGAUAAUGACAUAUUUUUUAUAAGUCUUGACCAAUUUGCGUGCCAGCAGUCGCGGUAAUACGCAUAAGACAAGUGUUAUUCAUCUUUAAUAGGUUUAAAGGGUACCUAGACAGUAAGAUAAGCCUACUAUUUUAUAGAGUUACUUAUGAGGGGGCUAUUAGGUACUGGUGUGUAGAGAUGAAAUUCUUUGAUACCACAUGGCACAGAUUAAGGCGUAAGCAUCUCCUUAUGUGAUAACUGACGUUGAGGGACGAAGGUAGGUACCCUCGUAGUUGAAAGCAGAAAAUGAUGAGUGCCAUAAGGUAAUUUACUUUAUAAACGAUAGUGUAAGCACUCCACCUCAAGAGUAAU